GACGAACGCUGGCGGCGUGCCUAAUACAUGCCAGUCGAACGCUGAAGGAGGAGCUUGCUUCUCUGGAUGAGUUGCGAACGGGUGAGUAACGCGUAGGUAACCUGCCUGGUAGCGGGGGGUAACUAUUGGAAACGAUAGCUAAUACCGCAUAAUAGCAGUUGUUGCAUGACAACUGUUUGAAAGUUGCAAUUGCACCACUACCAGAUGGACCUGCGUUGUAUUAGCUAGUUGGUGGGGUAACGGCUCACCAAGGCGACGAUACAUAGCCGGCCUGAGAGGGGGGUCGGCCAACCUGGGACUGAGACACGGCCCAGACGCCUACGGGAGGCAGCAGUAGGGAAUCUUCGGAAAUGGACGGAAGGCUGACCGAGCAAAGCCGCGUGAGGGAAGAAGGGUUUCGGAUUGUAAAGCUCUGUUGUAAGGGAAGAAAGAGGGUGAGAGUGGAAAGUGCACACUGUGACGGUAUCUUACCAGAAAGCGACGGCUAACUACGUG
rnacentral:rRNA from 1 species